rnacentral:misc_RNA from 1 species
UAAAUUCGGUGCAUUAGUAUUGAAAGUUCAUUAGUGUGGUGCAUAAAGUUUCUUAUUGUGACAUGGAGAUCUCAUGGAACAUAAUCCAAGUAGUGGGACAGAAUGGGGAUGACUGGCCUAGAACCCGAACACCAUAAAGUGAAUGAAAAAGAAAAAGGAACGGAAGCUAUGUGAUCUGUAGGAUUCUUCCAUAAUGGUGGGAGUGAGUAUUUAUCAAUGCAACUGAGAGCAAAUCCUCAAUUGGUUCUACAACAUCUCCUUGUGGUGUUAUUUGUUAUUCUAGAUUGUUAGUUGG